AUGUGCGACGCGAAAAGCUUUGACACAGGAAAGAAGCAAAAAGGGAGAGAGAUGAAGAACAGAGGAGCGGGAGAAAGAAGCAAAUGUACAGAUAUGGGGAGAGAUAGAGAGCAGGGAACCUUGCUGCAGCACUUCCUUCCGCCACCACGGUUCUGCCUGUCUCCACUUCCAACUAUCUCAUCAACACUCCGCCUUCUUCAGCUCGGCAGAGCGGGAGAAAGAAGCAAAUGUAGAGAUAGGGAGAGAAUGAGAGCAGGGAACCUUGCUGCAGCACCUCCUUCCGCCACCGCAGUUCUACCUGUCUCCACUUCCAACUGUCUCAUCAACACUCUGCCUUCUUCUGCUCUGCAGGGUGGCAUCCCUCUUGAGCAUCUUUUUGGUUGUUCUCCUGACUACUGGGUGCUUUGUUUGCUUGGUUGUGUUUGUUUCAUUCUUCUUGGCCCCCAUGAAUGCACCAACCCGACGGCUCCAUUUAGUGUCUUCUUAGGAUACAAUGUUGAGCACAAAGGCUAUAGUGUUGGGAUCAUGUCAGUUGUCUUUUGCCCUUGUCCACCCAUCCCAUUGUGUCUGCACAUACUCCUAUGUGGACCCCUCGCCGCAGUCCCCACCUCGUUCAUCCCCUAA
rnacentral:rRNA from 1 species